GAUGAACGCUGGCGGCGUGCCUAAUACAUGCAAGUCGAGCGAACAGACGAGGAGCUUGCUCCUCUGACGUUAGCGGCGGACGGGUGAGUAACACGUGGAUAACCUACCUAUAAGACUGGGAUAACUUCGGGAAACCGGAGCUAAUACCGGAUAAUAUAUUGAACCGCAUGGUUCAAUAGUGAAAGACGGUUUUGCUGUCACUUAUAGAUGGAUCCGCGCCGCAUUAGCUAGUUGGUAAGGUAACGGCUUACCAAGGCAACGAUGCGUAGCCGACCUGGGAGGGUGAUCGGCCACACUGGAACUGAGACACGGUCCAGACUCCUGCGGGAGGCAGCAGUAGGGAAUCUUACGCAAUGGGCGAAAGCCUGACGGAGCAACGCCGCGUGAGUGAUGAAGGUCUUCGGAUCGUAAAACUCUGUUAUUAGGGAAGAACAAAUGUGUAAGUAACUAUGCACGUCUUGACGGUACCUAAUCAGAAAGCCACGGCUAACUACGUG
rnacentral:rRNA from 1 species